ensembl:lncRNA
AAGAAAGAGAAGACUUAGCAACUAAACAAAAUUGCACUGGCCAGGUCUUUCUAGCACAGUGCUGAAUGGAAGCAGUGAGAGUGGGCACCCUGUCUUAUUCCUGGUCGCAGUGGGAAAGCUUUGAACAUCUCACCAUAAGAUAAUCCUGGCCUCGUAAAAUGAACUGGAGUGUUCGGCUCUUCAGUUUUUUCAACUACCCAACAAAUUGAACUUGACUCUGAAAUCUACCUGAAACAAACUGCCUGGAGUACUUUGAGAAGCAAGUGGACUUAGUUUGGCACCUAAGAAAUUUGAAGUAGUAAUAAUAACAUGAUAAGUAGAUAAAUGGUUACUGGGUACAUGGUUUGGCAUCUAAGAAAAUUGAAAUAAUAUGAUAACAGAAAUAAUAAUUUGUUCAGUUGCUAAGUUGUGUUCGACUCUUUGCAACCGCACAGACCAGUAGCCCACCAGAUGUGUCCAUGGGAUUCUCCAGGCAAGAUUACUGGAGUGGGUUGCAUAUCUUCUAGGAGAUUUUCCUGACCCAGGGAUCAAAGCUGCAUCUCCUGCUUCCCCUGCAUUGCAGGCAAAUUUUUCACUGCUGAGCCACUGGGGAAGCCCAUAUAAUAGCUUAUAAUAAGUAAAUAAAUGGUUACUAGCUAUAAGCUAGAACUGCAGUAACACCUAUCCGCCUCAUCUCAUGAAUUUCUCAAGAAACACUCAAUAACCCAAGAAAAUGAGCACAGGCCCACACAGAUGAGACAGUGUGAGGACAAGCAGGAAGCUGACUGGGGUGAGUGGAUGUUGUUGUUCAGUCGCUAAGUCAUGUCCACCUCUUUGUGACCCUGUGAACUGCAGCACGCCAGGCUUCCCUGUCCUUCACCAACUCCCAGGGUCACUUUCAGGACUGGCGUGCUGCAGCUUGUGAGGUGAGGGGAUGGGGGUUUGGUAAACCAAACUGCUGCCAAGAGCAUGAUUGCAGAAAACACAAGCAGCUGAUGUGAAGGAGUGACAGUAUUCAAGCACCGCUCAAGUAGGGAAGCAAGUGGUGCGUGGCGGGCUGGUGUCUUGGAUAAUACGGGAAGCGUGGCUCGCUGGGGAUGUGGGUGGGUGAGCGGCAGCUGGGAUGGAGUGGAGUGGCGUCACUGCAGAAGGCCAAAUAAUUGCCUAAGAACUUCCGGCGCUUUCCUCCGAGUCCUCAGAGUGCUGACGGAAACAAGAAGUAUCAGGCCACGUGAGCCCAGGAAGAUUGCCUUGCCUUUCUGGCUCUCAGACCAAACAAGGAGAAGGCCGAACUGUCUGAGGUCCCGAGCAGUAUUAACUCUCUGACUGCACUGUGCUUCAGCCAUAAACCAUCAGACUGUUUUUUCAGGGAGAGGUGCCUGAGCAUGAUUGCAGAAAACACCUCCAGGGGCCAGGGGGCAGGGUGGCCAGUGACCACAGGUGUGAGCGUUACUCUGGGCUGUAAGCAAAAUGAAAAUGGGCUGGUGAUUCACUAGCACAUUCAGUGACCCGCCCCUCUCUGGGGAGACCAGGAGCACCCUACCCCAUUUGCCGAGGCCUAGACAGCCAGCCCCUGGCCUGUGCCUCUGUGUGUGUGAUCUUUCCACAGCUUUUUUCUCUUCUGUAUUGUGGCAAGAUACAUACCUUGUUCAUUUUCACGCUGUAAACAGUUCUGCUAUGUGACCAUAUUACAAUUUUCUUAUCUCUUCUGCAGUUGGUAAAAUGUAGGCUAUCUCUGCAUAUAUUUUUGUUGUUAUUACAAAUAAUAUGGCUCUGAACACCCUUAUACAUGUGUAUAUAUUAAUAUGCUGGGUUGUAGGAGUGGAGUUACUGAGAUUUAAAAUGAUUUUCCAACGUGAUGGCAAUAAUUUACAUUCUUACCAGCAGUGGGUGAAAAUACCCUUAUCACCAGACUUCUUAAUUUUUGUCAACCUGUGGGGUCUUAUUUGAGUUUUUUAAUUUCUAGUGAGGUUGAACUUUUCAUUUGUUUUUCCUCUUCACUGAUUUGCCUAUUCAUAUUUUUGCCAAUUUUAAACAUUAGGUUUAUAUUUUUUACUAUGAAAUCUAUAGUAACUGUAUCCUGAACACUAAUAUUAUAUGGAUAAAUGUUCAUUCUGUGGCCUAUUUGGUUUGUCUUUUGAGAAAUUCAAGUGUUCAUUUUAACAUAAUUAUGUGGACCAGCCUUUUCCUCUUUCCCAAGGAGAAUGCACGCUGUCCAUCGCGAUUCUAAUCCUCUUAAAGACCUCCCCCAGCCCAAGCCUGGAUCCCCACCUCGUGGUGAGGGGACCUGGGCAUCCAUCCGUGUUCUGGGCCCUCCAGUUGCCUU